AGUGAAGCGGGAUGAGCUCAAAUUUAAAAUCUGGCUGGUUUACUAGUCCGAGUUGUAGUUUAAAGAAGCGUUUUCGGUGGCAGUCUCGGUAAAAGUCCUUUGGAAUAGGGCAUCACAGAGGGUGAGAAUCCCGUCUUUGACUGAGAAUAUGCUACUAUGUGAUACGUUUUCAAAGAGUCGAGUUGUUUGGGAAUGCAGCUCAAAAUGGGUGGUAAAUUUCAUCUAAAGCUAAAUAUUGGCGAGAGACCGAUAGCGAACAAGUACCGUGAGGGAAAGAUGAAAAGAACUUUGAAAAGAGAGUUAAACAGUGCGUGAAAUUGUUGAAAGGGAAACGCUUGAAACCAGUCAUGCGGCUGAGAAAUCAGUCUCUGACGAGGGGGAAUGGGAGAGGUGUGGACCGCAAGGCUGCUCUUUUUCAUAUCUUUUUCGGCAGGGAUGCACUUUUUCUUUCGCAGGUCAACAUCAGUUUGCUUUGCCGGACAAAACUCUUGGGAAGGUGACAGCUUAGGCUGUGUUAUAGCCCUGGAGCGAUACGGUGGAGCGGACUGAGGUUUUCGCAGCAUGUGCUCUCGGGCAAGGCUGAUUGGGUGCUAUGAGAUCGUUCAGGGUACAAUACAUGUAUUUUGCCUUGUGUCUUUUUUAUACUCGCUCAACUCGGCUCUUCCAUGCUUAGGAUGUUGACAUAAUGGUUUUAAUCGACC
rnacentral:rRNA from 1 species